rnacentral:rRNA from 1 species
GACGAACGCUGGCGGCGUGCCUAAUACAUGCAAGUUGAGCGCUGAAGGUUGGUACUUGUACCAACUGGAUGAGCAGCGAACGGGUGAGUAACGCGUGGGGAAUCUGCCUUUGAGCGGGGGACAACAUUUGGAAACGAAUGCUAAUACCGCAUAAAAACUUUAAACACAAGUUUUAAGUUUGAAAGAUGCAAUUGCAUCACUCAAAGAUGAUCCCGCGUUGUAUUAGCUAGUUGGUGAGGUAAAGGCUCACCAAGGCGAUGAUACAUAGCCGACCUGAGAGGGUGAUCGGCCACAUUGGGACUGGGACACGGCCCAAACGCCCACGGGAGGCAGCAGGAGGGAAACAUCGGCAAUGGACGAAAGUCUGACCGAGCAACGCCGGGUGAGGGAAGAAGGGUUUCGGAUCGUAAAACUCUGUUGGUAGAGAAGAACGUUGGUGAGAGUGGAAAGCUCAUCAAGUGACGGUAACUACACAGAAAGGGACGGCUAACUACGUG